UUUAAUUUCAGGCCUUAUAAACUAAAGAUGUCCCCUAAAAUUAAUUAUACUUAUUAUUUUGGAUCGGCAUCUGUGAUUGGCUACAUCUGUUAGAAACUUCAUUGUGGUUCCUAAUUAAGGAACCAAAUCUAGUUGGCUGAUGGGAAGGGAAAAAAAUUUAAUUCAAAGGGAGAUGUAAUACUGUGAAAAUAACCAAAUACUUUGUCUCCACAAGGCUUUCCGGGGGAGCAGAGCUUCCCCAAUCAUCUGUAUGGUGUAUCUACUGUGCAUUUUAUUAUUUUCCCACUUGUGUCUUUCUUCCUACGUUACCGCUGAAGGUUUUACUUAACCAAUUCUCUUGAAACGCUCUUCCUCUAUCCUGCACGGUGGUAGUUCCUUCAGCCAAGACUGGGAAGUAGAAGCAUCUCCAGGGAAGAUUUUUUUCCUUUUGGUCUCCCCUCCCGUUUUGAAAUUUUGUUUUUCGUUUCUAGACACAUCAAAACGUUUAGAACUCCAAAAAAAAAAUUUUUUUUCCCCUUAGAAAGCUUCGAAAAGGGGAAAAAACAAAAACAAAACAAAAAACCCCAAACGCUAUAGGGUCGUCCCCGAGAGUAACAAGAGCGCCAGGUUAACAAGCCCCCAGCCAGGUGAUCGAAGGGAGAGGCGGUCGGUAGUUCACUGCCCCACGCCCCCAGGAGAACGUGACAUCCCCGGGUAGGUGCCCCCGAUGGCACCUGCCCAAGACCUUCUUGCGCCCAAGCCUAAGCUGUGCACUGGCCUGGAACCGAAGACCUAAAAGAAGGCCAUCACAGUCCGCACACCUGCGCCGCUCCGCCCGGCUCCCGACCACGUCGAGCAGGAAACCCCGCUACUUUCCGAGCUGCAUCUCCUCGGCUCGCCUAGACGCACCUAGAAAACAAGCAACUUCAGUGAUCGCAGACUCCGCUUUCCCGGGAAGAAAGGGCAAGGCGGCUACCAUCAGUGUCUGAUUACACAAACACACCUAGGGGCAGCUUGGGGUGUGAAGGAGGG
rnacentral:lncRNA from 1 species